rnacentral:lncRNA from 1 species
AAUCGAAAUGAAAUCGUUUAUUGCGAUAUCGUCAUUUUGUAUGCUACGCAAUACAAUUUAAUUUACAGUAUUGAAUCCUAUCAAAUAUUAAUAUAGAUUUAAUCUUUUGUGGUUAGGUACGAUGAUCAAGAAAGAAGUAAUAUUUUGCUGCUUCAGAAAUGAUGUGAGGAAAAAGUAUUACAGAUAUAAUGGAAUUUUUCUUGUUUAUAUUUUUAAAUUGGUUCAAGGAAAUUAACCUGAUUAGUUGGAACUAUGAAAUAGGAUGAAGCGGUAACUGCAAGAGCAAUGCUGAGAAAAUUAUAAGAAGACCGGUCUAAUACUUGUGAAAGGAUUACCAGGUUUUUUCUUCUUCGUGGAUUUGAGAGAAGCCGAUAGUAAAGCUUAAAUUCUUUGGUGGUCCCUUUAAAGAAGGUAAAGAGUACAAGGUGAUGAACGUUUACAACAACGGAAGACGAGAACUUCCACAAGACACCGUAAAAUCUACUUAAAUGCGAAACCAUUUUAAAGAGUAACGCCCGUUACGAAGAACUCUAUAGACACACGGAGUCGAGCAUAAACGCACGUUAUGGAAAAUAGCUUCCCUCGUGGAAUUCAGGGGAAAAGAGAGAGUAAGAGAGAGCAGUAUUUUAUCGAUCGGAGCGUUCCCUGCAAAUCGACAAAACCGUUAUCGGUUCGUCGUCUUGAAAAGGAGAACGAAAAGGAGAAGGAGAUCGACAUCGGCCAGUGUAUUUGGCCGCUCGUAAAAAUAAAUCUGCCGGCAUAAUCCGUUCAAAAUGAUAGUGACUGUCCUCGUUUUAGCCUUGGACGAUGGAUAUGCUGAGAGAAUUUUCCACUAUGGUUUUAUUUCCUUGCUUUCACGAAACGAAGGAAGAAACGCGGUAGUAAGAAGACUCAACCAGGAUUAUUAUUAUGAUUAUUUUCAUUACAGACUUUCUCAAACGUCACAGUUCUGAUUGUUACGGUUAUUACAGUUGGUAGUGUCACCAGACAAUUACGGAUUACCGUGACAAAAAAUAGCUACAUCAAAUUUCAAAACUCGAAGAUAUUCUUUUUCCCUACCUGACAAAAUGCAUACACGCAUACACGUAGAUACAUUCCUUUACAUAAAUCAAUGUUGUUUCUGUACGUAGCACGAAAUUAUCGCUUUUUAUUAUCGUCUCAAACGUUGGGCUCGGCGAGAUGCUUCGAAACGGGUAUGCGCAUAAAUAUAUGCUUAGCCGAACGAGAUUUCGAGGGUGGCAGGCUAAAGCCACGGACUCAAGGCAAUAAAACUCUCCGGAAUUUACACCGAAAUUAGACUUUACCGCCCUGCCAGGUUCAUCCCGAGCGACAAACCCCUCCGUCUCUAUCCACCCUUAUCAAGGAAACAGGAAAGGGUUGGAAAGUCAGCGAAUAAGAGAAAGAGACAGAGAGAGAACGACCGAGCCAGUUGGUAAUUCUCCUACACCACUCCGACAGAAUGGCAACUUUCUCAUUCCAGUUCUCUACGAAAUAGAACGUUACACCGUACCAUUUCUGCACCGUCGCUUUCCUCUACUCCUCCCUCCCUCUCUUCCUCUAUUUUUCUCUAUUUUUUUUUCUUUCUUUCUUUAUUUCUCUUCUAUACUCAUCUUCUCUAUUUUCCUAUACGAUCCUUUGCCACUCGCCUUUUUCCUUCAUAUUCUCUUUCUCUUUCUCUCUAUGCGAGAAGCUCUCAGAGACCAUAAAAACCAGCAGUUCAUUUCCCUAAUGCGAGCGCUCGAGUCGUGCCAAACGGAGAUGGGGAACUCGUAGGGCAGUGACGAUGGCCCGAAUCCUACCGCGAACGGCUUCGUCCCUUGGCUUUAAGGGUGAUCGAGCUUACCUUCAGGACUUUUUCUUCUUUUUCUUCUUUUAUGAUGUUUUUUUUCUUUUUUAUUUUUUUAACUCGUUUUUCGUUUUCCCGCUUUUCUUGAAGAUCACGUAAUGCCCGAGACGUCGGUGAUCGAGUUCUUCCGAAAAAAAGAAAGUAAGAAAAAGAUGUAGGACGAUAAAAAGGGCGAAAGGUUUUACGUGAAAUUGGGCUUGAGGAAGAAAUUAAAGAGAAGAAAAGAGUUGGAAGUAAGAAAAAAAAAUAAAGCUAAGAAAUUAAGACUACAGUAGUUUUAUUUUACAUGCCAACGCGUUACCCUACGUCUGUUCCCUGUUACGCGGAAGCAAAGUUGUAUACCUAAUAUAAUACUACUAUUAUAAUAAUUAUAGGUAAAUAAUAUAUAUAAAUAUUCGUAUAAUAUUAGAAUAAUAAUAUUCUAGUAAUAUUAGAAGAGACCAUAUAACUCUAUGAAGUAUCGAUGACAUAGUACACUGUAGAUCCUUGUUGAAUUUGUAUUGAUAUUCUCUACAAUUUUUGUUGAAUUUAAAAUAUUGAUUUCCAUUGAAAAAAAUUGUUAUGACUUCCGUAUCUUGACAAAAGCGCAUUCUAUGAAAUAGCUGUAAUAAAUAUUACGUUUCCUUUUGAAAAACUAGCAACUUUUUUAUUUCAAAUAUUUGUUUAUAAAAUAAAUAGGGUCGGAGAUGUUUGGUAAUAUCGUUUAAAACGAGACAUCUGGUAUAUUAAUAAAAAUAGUGCUGUAAUAU